rnacentral:rRNA from 1 species
AACAAAGUACCCGGUAGGGAAAGUUGCAAAGCACUUUGAAGAGAGAGUUAAAGAGGACGUGAAACCGGUGAAGGUGGAAACGGAUAGAGUCGGCGUAUCAUUCAAUUAUUCAGUUACAUUAUUUUUAUGUUGUGACCUCUGAGCUCCAGAUUGGGACAGAGGGAAUCAGCAUAAUUUUUUGUGGUGCAUUUACUUGAUUGGUGCUUGGGGAUGUUUGAGGCAGAUUUGUUUCCGUCGUUUUGAGGCCAGCUUGCUGGUACCCAAACGGUGUUAGCAUUUUUUGUCUUGGGCAUUUGAGUAUGGCUCACGUGUAUUUAUUGGACAGAUCUGAGUGUAAGUUACGGUCGCAUGCGACACGUGCUUUUCAAUUAGUUCGGUCCAGUUAAUGCUCUCGUACUCGUUCCCCAUGUAAAAGCCGGUCAUCUAUCCGACCCGUCUUGAAACACGGACCAAGGAGUUUAUCGUGUGCGCAAGUUUUUGGGUGUUAAAAACUUAAAAGCGAAAUGAAAGUAAAUGACUCUUUAGAGUCUGAUGUGCGAUCUUGUAAAAAAGUGUAGCAUGGCCCCAUUCUAACUGUUUACAGUAGGGUGGCGGAAGAGCGUACGCGGUGAGACCCGAAAGAUGGUGAACUAUUCCUGAGCAGGACGAAGCCAGAGGAAACUCUGGUGGAAGUCCGAAGCGGUUCUGACGUGCAAAUCGAUCGUCUGACUUGGGUAUAGGGCGAAAGUC